rnacentral:pre_miRNA from 14 species
UUUUAAUUAAAAAAUAUUAUGUGUAUAUUGAAAGACUCCCGGAGCGGGGAGACCCUCACUCAAGUCUCGGGAUGAUGCGACCCCCCAAGAACUCACGUGAGACC